GCCUGGGUGGCUCAGUCCAUCAAGCGUCUGACUUCGGCUCAGGUCAUGAUCCCUCACAGUUUGUGGGUUCAAGCCCCACAUCAGGCU
rnacentral:tRNA from 1 species